AGAACGUGCACGUGCGUCUGUCGUGAAGUAGAGCGCGUUCAGGAGAUGAAAUCACCCGACUUUCCGGUUUUGGCUUCGACACCCAGGAGGGAUAUAGACCCAGUAAGCCAUUUUGUGCACAAUUUGCAUGAACCAAGAUGGAACGCAUGAGGCGGCAACAAACGUUCUUUCUUCGGAGGUCGUCCUUCUUUGUUGGCACUGCAGCCGAUGCGAGCGCAAGAGGAGCACGAUGUUGCCUUUCGCGGACGAAAGGAAGGCACCUUGCACCGUUGACGGCUACAGAGCUUUUUCGUUUACUCAUGCUAUGCGGUAUAUGUGCUGCAAUAGGCGGUAAUAUAAGAGUAAACAUUUGACGGAUGGCGUAACCGUCAGCCGUUGCCGCUUAAAAUAAGAGUAUGAAAACGAACGAUUCUUGACCCUUACUCUCCGUCAUCGCCCCAAGCGUAAGUUGAUGACAUGUAAAAUAGCGGUCAAGAAUCGAAGUUUUCUUACUUUUACUAUCCGUCGGUUUUCCGAGAGUGUAUAAGAAACGUACCUAUAAGUUACCUAUAUAGCCUGUGAUGAUCCGAUCUGUUAAGCACUUCUGCGAAUUCCCAAGCGCCCACCGUGAAGUGACCACCGUGAGCACCAUGCUCACUGCUGGGCGAGUGCCGUUCGGGUACGGAGGCAGCCCUCCUGUGAUACACCCCUGUCUAAUCUUCGACUGGUCCGCUCAUAGUGUAACAGAAAAAUAUAUACGAACUGCACUUAAAGGGGCUCUAAACAGGUAUACAAGGUGCGCAUUUCUUUGAGUUAUAUUAUUGCAACUUAGUCAAUGAAAGCUCCUUGCAAUUACUAGCGCUCAAAACCAAAAGGCGCUUGCAUACGGAUGCAAUGGAAAUAUUCACAGCACUCUCGCUUUUUAGCUCCGCCCUUCUGGAUCCCUCAACGAGCUAGACCCUCCCCCCCCCUCUCACAAAAUUGCUUGGUCCCUGGUCACAUCCAGCACACCAACGCUCUGCCGUCAAGGCUCUCUUCACCUUCCUGGACACCACAGGACUUCGAGCCUUAUUUUGAAGGGGCUCAUUAUUUCAUUCCCCGUCUCACCACCAGCAAUGGGGUAGAGUAUCGCCCCCUGCGAUGAAACUCCUCAGUCAUCAUCCCGUAAUAAAGUUGUUGUUUUAGCUCCGCCCUGCGCUCUAACUUUACGUCAUUUUGACGUGGCACUUUCCUCACCGAUUACG